rnacentral:lncRNA from 1 species
UUCUCAACAGUCUAGUUGAAGUUACCUUUGAAUUAUUGCUCAAAUGGAAGUGUUUCCAUUUUGACCUCAUUUUUCAAAGAUGCUUUUAUAGCAUAGAAUUCUUGAAAGAUAAUUAUUUUCUCUUAGUGUUUUGGCAUCAUUGUUCCAUGGCCCUCUGACUUUCAUGUUUGCUAUUGAGAAAGCAAUAGUCUCAUUAUUGUUUAAAAUGAAUAAUGUUAUUACAGUACAGCCAUUUUUUUCUAAAUUAUAUUCCUUUGUGAUCUAUCGUUGUGUAGGAUUUGUCACGUUAUAAAUUUUCACGUUCAUAAUUUCCUGACUUUGAGCAUUGAUGCAUUUAUCCCUUACUUUUACUCAAUGUUUAACAAUUUCAUAAUAUAUCUAAUGUAGUUUAGCAUAGGAAUCCAAAUUACCCUGUACUUUUACCUUUCUAAUGCUGCUGAAAUCAUUUUUCUUCUCAGAGCAUUCUCCGCAUACAUUUCUUUCUUAUAUGUUCAUAUGUGUUUUUCCCACUGAGUUUAGAGUUAUUUCAUUUGAGCAUGGCUAUACAGUUAUUACUGGAGCAUGAACUCCUCGCCAGAGACUGUACCACUUUCUGCUAUACUGAGAAACCCUAUGAGCAGUGUAUGCUUCCAAGUAGUCACCUUUGCCUUCCUGCCUAUGAUCUAUUUGUGCUCUCAUCCUUUCAUGUUUAAUCAUAAUAUUGACUUUAGUAAUCAUUCCUUAAAUUGUAUUCUUUUCUAUUACUGUGCGCAUUUAAACCAUAUUACCAGAAUUUGCCUCAAUUUAAUUUUUGUUUUUAGUUUUCCAAUUUGAUUUUCAGCCUUGCCUAAUAAAUUCUUUAAAUUUAUUUUAUGUUUAUAAGAACAUAUUUAGAUUACUGUAUAAAUUAUUUUAUCCAGUCAUUUAGUUCAUUUUCUAGUAUCCAUGGUCAGUUUCGUUCAACUCUUCUCAUUCAAGUUAGCAGUCAUUUCAAUCAGUUCAAUAAGCAUAUUAGGCAAGCAAAUUCACAACCUCUUAUCACAAUCUCAAUAUUUGCAGUUACUGGAAGAGUCUGAUGAUGCAGUAUAAUGCGUUUUGCUUGUGCUUGCUCAUAACAGAUAAUUUCUUCACUCAGGAAAUGAUUUCUGAUGUUAUCAGUUCAUGUUUCCUUAAUAUCUUGUCAUUUGUUUAUACUGGGGUAAUUUCAGGACAAAUAUAAGUGAUCUGUAUAGAAGUUUUUCAUGAUAUUUUCAGUUCCUUAGAGGAUGAAUAACUCCAAGCUUCCUUCAGUCUUUAUAAUUUUCUAUCGUGUUUUGAGGAAGAAGUCACAUGCACAUCCCAAGUUCAGUUUUCAGCCAUGCAUGUAAGCUACUAUUCUAAUAUUCAAGAGGUUGAACUCAAGCAUGAAAAUAUUUUCAUCAUUUAUCUUCUCCCUGUGGGUAGGAAUUCUGGUAGUUAUCCACAAACAUUUUAAUUACUAUUAUAAAUAAUAAUUUCAGGAAGACAUUAAUUUUAUUGACUAUUAUCUGACUAUCAAUUCUUUUUUCAUUUUAGCCUUGUGAAUAUGUAUCAUAACAAAAAAUUAUAAUAAUUUCUUUUUUGUUUCCAUUUGUUUUCUUUUAUUACUAGAUAUUUUCUUUAUUUACAUUUCAAAUUUUAUUCCCUUUCCUGCUUUCCCCUCCAACCCCCCCCCCAAUCCCAUCUCCCCUCCCCCUGCUCACUCAUCCACCCACUUCUGCUUCCCUGGCCUGGCAUUCCCCUACACUGGGGCAUAGAGCCUUCAUAGGACCUAGGGCCUUUCCUCUCAUUGGUGUCCUGCAAAGCUAUCCUCUACUACAUAUGUGGCUGGAGCCUUGAGUCCCACCAUGUGCACUCUUUGGUUGGUGCUUUAGUUCCUGUGAGCUUUGGGGUACUUGUUGGUUCAUAUUGUUAUUCCUUCUAUGGGACUGCAAACCCCUUCAGCUCCUUGGGUCCUUUCUCUAGCUCCUCCAUUGGAGACCCUGUGCUCAGUCCAAUGGAUAGCUGUGAGCGCCCACUUCUGUACUUGUUAGGCACUGAUAGAGCCUCUCAGGAGAAAGCUAUAUCAGGAUACUUUCAGCAAGCACAAAAAUAUUAUAGUAAUUUCUAAUUACCUGAAUUUCCUGGUAUCAGGAUGGAUAGUAAGACUAGUACUCUCUUAGAAGACUUAUUGGUUGCCUUUUGAUUAGAAAAAUGUUUACAUUUGCCCAUCUAUAUUAGUACAUGGUAUGUGAAAGAAGUGAAAUUAACACAGGAUGUCUUCCCAGCAUCCUUCCACAGAGACUAAGCUAAGGAAGCUUGGUCUGUGCAGAUUGGUGGAUUUAGCUUUUCCUAACUCUGGUAUUUUAAUCCAUGUCAGUUUUGGAAAAAUGAAAUUGGAAGGAGUUUAACUUCAUAUCAUGCCAGCCUGAGUUAUCUAUCAUUGUUAAGGUCCUACAUUUGCCAUUCUAUAAAUUGUUAAACUCAAGCUGUUAUUGUUUAAUUUCUAUGUAUGUAUGUGUGGGAGGGUGUUUUUAAUUCAUGUAUGUGUUCUCCUUUCCAUCCUUGGUACUUGAAGAGGCCAGAGUAAACUAUCAGAUCCACUGGAACUGAAGAUAUAGAUGAGUCACCACGUGAAUGUUGAAAAUAGAAACAAGUCUUCUGCAAGAGCAGUCAGCGUUCCUAUCAAUCAAGCCAUAUUUUGAACUCCUGCGUCUUUCUUUCUUACUCUACAAGCAGUUGAAUUAUUUAUUAUUGUUGUUUAUGUCCAAGCAUUCUAGCCACAGUGCUCAGGUGGAGGUCAGAAGGAAAUUCUCUCUGGAGUUUUGCUUCCCUUCUACUCCAUGUACAUUCCAUACAUGGCUUUAAGAGAAUUCUUUUAAAAUAGCUAAUGUAGUGUGGAUUCCAUGUAUUCCUUGAGGAUGUGGCAGAAGCUUUGUUGUUUCUCCAGUUAUUUUGGUUUGUGAGAUUUCAAAUCUUACCUGUAGAUUUCUACAAUAUAUCCAUAAUAGAUUGCUCAUGUUCCUUCUACCUUCAGUUUCUCUGACCAUGGUUAAUACUGUAUAUUUUCACAUCUAUCAAAAUAUCAAACCAAUUGGGGGCUAAAAGUCUAUUUGUGUGAGGGAUAAAUUUCUUGAAUAAUUUUAGGGAACUGACUGUCCCUGUCUGUUUUUGCCUGGACCUCCUCUGACUUUUCCCUUCUUUUGGAUUAAACAAAAUUUUACCUUUUUCUUUGCACAAUUCCUACCCAUCCUGUCUCUUUCUUUCUCUCUCUCUUUCUUCCUCUCCCUCUCUUUCUAUCUCUCUCUUUCAUUUCAUCUCACAGACAAAGGUUACUUGAUACCAAUUCACAUUGUUCUUUUCUCCUCUUUGCUUAGAUGGCUAAAGACUGUCUAUCCAAGGAGAGCUCUGGGAUUCAGCAGUAGUUGGUGGUCUAAACACAAUAUGCCAAAAGAUCAUAAGCUUAGUAAGCAAACAAAAGCUAUCCUCCUAACUUUAAAGCUUGUUCUACACACCCAGUCUUCUCCACUAGCAUCCUAAUAUAGAGAGCUCAGAAUGGUUGUUCUUCUGCUAUCUACUGCAGAUGUCAGUCCCUUCUAGAUGGGAAGGGAAAGAGGUUGUACUGCUGGGAGAGACAUUGAAAAGUUAAUUUCAAUCAAGACCACAGCUUCCAGUGAGUUAGGGCAGAGAAAGUUGACAUGGGACAACAAGGUUGUGCUUGCUUUAUCUGCUCUGCUGUUUCUUCUGUGGAGAACUAGAAUCAUCAAAAUGUGGCAGGGAAACC